rnacentral:lncRNA from 1 species
GGGUUGUCUCCUCCUGUUCAAGCCGCCUGGGCUUCUUCCAGUCAAACCCAAAGGGAAGGUCAGUCUGUCGAUGACUGGCCCAUCGAAGUGAAAAGCACGGAAAGGAGCCCGUGCUCCUUAUUAGCUGUGCCAUUGUUGGCACCUGCUGGUGAUGCUGCGUGCAUUUCUACAUCCAUUUUCACCAACCAGGAAGUGUCAGAAUGAUUUCAAUGAGCCUCUCUCUUUGUGCUGCAGCAAAACCACAGAGUUUGAAACCUACUGAAUUAUCGUCUGUGUCUUCACAUCAUUAUAAUUUCUUUUGUUUGAGAUUCAUGAAGUCACCUGAGUCCAAGCGGAACAGCCCUAAACUGUCGUUUUCCGUCUCCUGAGCUGUUCUGAGCUCAGCGCGCGAAGGAAGCGGUCCCUGAUCAGCGCUGAUGCUUUUCUCUUCCCAAAGGGACAAUUUCCUUUAAGCACUUCCUGCUGCCGUGUUCUUUCCUCCGUUCUGUGCUCGGCUCCUGCUGUGCUAAUCAUUCUGUUCUACGGCGUCGCGGCGCUCGCCGUUCGCCGCGUUUGCAGCGGGUCUCUUAUUUUUCACCCGGUAGUCAAAUAUUUUACCAGUCGCUGGGUGUUGUUGUGUUUCAUGCAUCUCAUCUUGGAAAGCGACUUACCUGCGGUGAGCGUAUCCUGCACUUCUGUGUUCCUGAAGCGCAUUAAAUGAGGCUGAGUCGAGCAUUGGAGACUGCUCUGUUUCUGCUCCGUUGUUCUUCCUGCUUCCUGGUCACUGUACAGACCGACACUCACACAGUAAACUACUGGUUCAGCUGACUCAUUUCAGCUGCAGCAAACCUAAUUUGGGAAACAAACCUCUUCCAGAGACAUAAGAUAGUUCAGUCGGCCAUAUUGUGCUGCUGCAGCACAUGUCCUUCCUAGGAAUGAUGUGCAUGAAGGACAGAGAGCGUGUUCAGGUCUGAGUUGACACGAUUCCAUGAUCAGGUUUAUAAAACAUGGACACAGACUCGCGUGUGCUGACUGUCAGUCCUCAGACCGCAUCGGAUCAGCUUCUCGUGUCUUUCUAACGUCCCUUUGAAACUACAACACAUGAUAUGGGGCCAGAAGCAGCAUGUGUCCACACUUGGCAUUUCAGCUUGUUUCUGCAAUUAUCUCCCUUCAUAUUGAGAGGCUACCCACUGAGCCCGCACACACAGGCAAGCAGGACAGCCUCGACGUGAAGAAACAGCAGAAGAGAGCGCUUCAUAACUUCAUAAAUGAACAAAACAGCGAUUUUAUGUAGAGUUUUUCUGUUUUUCCUCCGUCUGAGGGCGCGUCCUGCUCCUGUGCAGGCAACUCAUUUUGGCCCUUUGCAUCUGGGAUCAUGUCCCUGGUGUCUGACAUACACCCAAACCUACAUUUGAUUUGAUUCUAGCGAGCUGAGUUACACUGUCACAAAUUUUCCAAAACAAUCAAGCAUUAGUAAAAGAUCAUUGCAAGGAGUCCAUUUAAACCACUUCCAUGACGGAUGUUUUGUUUACACCCAGAAAAUCUACGUCGCUCAACUCUCCGGGAGUAAAACUGCAUCAAUCAAAUGCCAGUGUUUAUGUUUGUCUGACCUAGAUUUCAACACCCACUUCAAAACCAGAUCUGCUGAAUUAUUGGGCAAACUCCAAUUAUCAUUUGAAAAAACACAUUAGUACAAGUAAGCUACAGUAGUAGGGAAUGGU